AAAAAAAAAAAAAAGAAAGAAAGAAAGAAAGAAAGAAAGAAAGAAAGAAAGAAAAAACCACCUCUGCACCCACCCAAAUACAUCUCUCCGCUCUCGGGAGUUCAGAGGCCAGGGCCUGGAACCUGGCCACUUUCAGAGACUUCCUCUAGGAAAAGUGACUGAUUCCAAAGCAGCCACCCUUUAAGACCAGGAGUCUUCAGUGCUCUCUGGGCUCGCAGCCCACAGCCACCUGCUUCUUGUUAACUCUAUUAGCCCAGCAGCUUUGCUGAACAGUCUAGACCAAGGCACCCUGCUGGCACCAUGGUGCUUCAUAAGCAGGCUGAAGACUCCUUGAUGCUCCCAUUGAGAAUACUCACUGGUCCCUAACAGCUGAGUCUCAGGAUCUUCCAGUAGAAGGGACCCCAGGUGAAGCCACAGCCUCACCAGAAAAGCGGGAGGUGUCUGUGGAGGCAAGAGACACCUGGAAGGUUUCUUUGUGGCCUUCUCAACCAGGAUUAGAGACCCAUUGGGAGGCAUGUCACCUGCCUUGGCUCCUUGGACCAAUGGGUGAUGUAUUUGCAUUAGGUUCUGCUUCAGAGUCCUCAGCUGGUGCUGGAGCUAGAGCCAUGCUGGCCAGCUGUCUCCCUAUAUGGCUUUACUAUCUCCCUUUGCCAUCUGGGCUGACUCACCUGGGUCAGUCUGCUGCAGUGGGUCCACACUGCUGCUCUGAUGGCAUUGGUUUGGUGUUGUUUUUGUUUGUUUUGUUUUUCUUGGUGUUUGUGUUUGUGGAAAUGGGGCAGUGCUGCCCUGUAUUUAGAACCAUCUCGAUAGCUCUCUGGCUUGCAGCCUGGAGCACAUGAGAGAGAGGGUUGAGGCUUACCCUCCCACCAGGAACCUGGAAGCACCACUUUGAAUCUGUUGCUAAGGAAUCCCAUGGUGGUUCUAGUGGGGGGCAUGGUUAGUCCCCAGCCAAAAUACAAGAUACAAGGCCCAUGUAGCUCCAGAGGGAGACUGUGGUAACUGGGCAUCAAGCUGAGGAAGAGGGGGAGGGGAGGCUUUGUACAUAUCUUAAGGUUGUAGUUUCUUGAGCUCAGAAGAGACAGAGAGAGGGGGAUGGAGGAGUUGGUGUAUGAAGGAGUGGCCUUUCUCUCAGCAUGGACGGUUGCAACAUUACUGUGCCUGCUCCCCAGACGCUGUGAUACCCAUCUGGUCAGCAGGCUUUACUGUAUUCAGUAUCUAACUGACAAUGGGACCUGGCAUGAGGGACCUGUCCCCAGCCUGGUGUGUAAUGUGACCUUGGGAUUAUUUUCAUAUCCCAAAGCAUUUCGUGACUUUGAGGAAACAGCAAAGACCCAUCUCCUUGGCCCCAGCUGAGUAUGUGACAGGUGUGACUGCUGUAUGAUGGUACACUUGGGCUGGCCGGAGAGGUGACAGGUGCCUAUUGUUGCAGAGGACAGAGCUACUGCUGGAUGAGCGCGCCCAGAUUUCAGCCUGCAUGGGAGUGACUGGAGGUGGGGAAGCUUUCAUGGGCUGAGGGUGACUUAGGGAGCAAGCCUGGGGUGUGGCUGGAGCACGCUGGGGACAGGGCGUUAGGUGGCAGGGACUCUGAAGUGUUCCGUGUGUGGUAAGUCCAUUCUGUUGCCCUUUGCUUGGGAGGGGUUAGUCAGGAGCUUUUCGUGGACAGCAUGGCCUGAGGCUUGGGUUAGGAAGUGACAGCUGGAGGUUGGGCCAGCAGGCAAGCUUCCCAGUGUUGGGGAGGUCCUUGCCUUUAAAAUCUCUUUAGGAACUCAUGUUGGAUUUGGUGGCAACUGGUCCAGCACAGAAGGUAGAGCUAAAGAGAGGAGUCCCCAUCCAGUGCCACCAACAGCUGGACCAGGGCUUCCCAUUCUCCAUUGCAGCACACAUCAGACUGCCGAUGUCCUUUGCUCCACUGAUGGGCCUGACCAGUUUGUAAGAGCUCCGUAUGCAAUUAAAGAUACUAAUCUGAUGUGUGCUGUAUCUGCUAUAAGUGUUUCUGGGGUUUUGCUGUGGGUGUGAUUGAAGCUGGCACAUGUGGGCAAACAAUGCCUGGCUCUGCCAGGCUGCUGCACAGGGCCAGAGGGAUGGCUGGGACAAAACAGCAUUUUGGGAGAAAUUAUGAAAUCCUUUCCACAAAUGGACAUACUAGGCCUGGGGGCCCAGGUGUGGUAGAGGGGUCUCUGUCACAGUGUUUAUGCCCCAAGUAGUUCUUACACUUUGUGGGAAAGGUGGUUCUGCCAGCUGUGUCCCUGGUGUCUAGUCCAGAACGUGAUCUAUACAUGACAGGAGCCAUCAUAGAGCAGGCAGCCAUGUACUCAGAUUGUCUUUCUGGUCCCAGGAUCCCGUGGCACAUAUAGGCUUUGUCAGCACAUGCCAUGUCACAAUUUUCAAAUGGCGUUUAAGCUAUGAAAGGAAACGGAGGACAUGUAAGCUUGAGUACUGUAUUUUAAUGAAAACUUAACUUUUCCGAGCAAAAUAUUUCUAAACAAAAUAAUGGUCUGUUUCCAUCUUGAUGGGUUUCCAUGAGAUGGUGGGAGACUGCUCCUGUCCUUUGUGACACUGUUGUGAAUCUCUGAGGAAAUCCACUGCAUGCUGAUGAGAUGGAGGAAGUCACAUAGUGUCAUGCAAACAGAGUGACCUUGUAGAGCAGGCACCACUGGGCCAGGAAGGACUAAGAGCAGGCAGUCUUGACCCAGUCUGUGAAGCCUCUGGGAUGACUCCCAGUGCUUUGAACCUCGGGUCUUUCCCCCUCUUAAUAAACAGCCAUUUCUGGGA